AAAGAUUAAGCCAUGCAUGUCUAAGUAUAAGCAUUUAUACCGUGAAACUGCGAAUGGCUCAUUAAAUCAGUUAUCGUUUAUUUGAUAGUACCUUACUACUUGGAUACCCGUGGUAAUUCUAGAGCUAAUACAUGCUAAAAACCCCAACUUCGGGAGGGGUGUGUUUAUUAGAUAAAAAACCAACGCCCUUCGGGGCUCCUUGGUGAUUCAUGAUAACUUCUCAGAUCGCACGGCCUUGCGCCGGCGACGGUUCAUUCAAAUUUCUGCCCUAUCAACUUUCGAUGGUAAGGUAUUGGCUUACCAUGGUUUCAACGGGUAACGGGGAAUUAGGGUUCGAUUCCGGAGAGCGAGCCUGAGAAACGGCUAGCACAUCCAAGGAAGGCAGCAGGCGCGCAAAUUACCCAAUCCCGACACGGGGAGGUAGUGACAAUAAAUACUGAUACAGGGCUCUUUUGGGUCUUGUAAUUGGAAUGAGUACAAUUUAAACCUCUUAACGAGGAACAAUUGGAGGGCAAGUCUGGUGCCAGCAGCCGCGGUAAUUCCAGCUCCAAUAGCGUAUAUUAAAGUUGUUGCAGUUAAAAAGCUCGUAGUUGAAUCUUUGGCCUGGCUGGCAGGUCCGCCUCACCGCGUGCACUUGUCCGGCCGGGCCUUUUCUUCUGGAGAACCGCAUGCCCUUCACUGGGCGUGUUGGGGACCAGGACUUUUACUUUGAAAAAAUUAGAGUGUUCAAAGCAGGCCUUUGCUCGAAUACGUUAGCAUGGAAUAAUAGAAUAGGACGCGCGGUCCUAUUUUGUUGGUUUCUAGGACCGCCGUAAUGAUUAAUAGGGACAGUCGGGGGCAUCAGUAUUCAAUUGUCAGAGGUGAAAUUCUUGGAUUUAUUGAAGACUAACUACUGCGAAAGCAUUUGCCAAGGAUGUUUUCAUUAAUCAGUGAACGAAAGUUAGGGGAUCGAAGACGAUCAGAUACCGUCGUAGUCUUAACCAUAAACUAUGCCGACUAGGGAUCGGGCGAUGUUUUUGACUCGCUCGGCACCU
rnacentral:rRNA from 1 species